rnacentral:rRNA from 1 species
GAUGAACGCUGGCGGCGUGCCUAAUACAUGCAAGUCGAGCGAACAGACGAGGAGCUUGCUCCUCUGACGUUAGCGGCGGACGGGUGAGUAACACGUGGAUAACCGACCUAUAAGACUGGGAUAACUUCGGGAAACCGGAGCUAAUACCGGAUAAUAUAUUGAACCGCAUGGUUCAAUAGUGAAAGACGGUUUUGCUGUCACUUAUAGAUGGAUCCGCGCCGCAUUAGCUAGUUGGUACGGUAACGGCUUACCAAGGCAACGAUGCGUAGCCGACCUGAGAGGAUGAUCGGCCACACUGGAACUGAGACACGGUCCAGACUCCUACGGGAGGCAGCAGUAGGGAAUCUUGCGCAAUGGGCGAAAGCCUGACGGAGCAACGCCGCGUGAGUGAUGAAGGUCUUCGGAUCGUAAAGCUCUGUUAUUAGGGAAGAACAAAUGUGUAAGUAACUAUGCACGUCUUGACGGUACCUAAUCAGAAAGCCACGGCUAACUACGUG